CACACACACACUCGGGUCUAGACUAGGGGGGCAAUGGCAGCCUGAUCCAGCCUGUGUUGGGGGAGGGGAGGCUGACCCAGAAUCAGCUAGCUGGGUUCCAAGGCUAGGCCUGCAAAACUCCAAGCCAGCACCCCAGCCCGGGGUAGCACGAAUCCGAGGCGCUUGGAGAGAAGCACAGCAGGAAAGGAUUGAAGAUCUGACACCGCGCUGCGGCGGAGCCUUUGAAGGGUCUGCCCAGCGUCUGCCCACCUCGCCGUCGCCGGGAGCAGGGAAGGAGAGCCAGAAGAAAAAGACACUGCCCCAGGCCACCUCUCCCACCGUCACCCCACUUCUGUGGGCUCACCUGUGCGGAAAUCCUAUUCUGUUUCACCCAUGUUAAGGAGCAAGGAGAGGAUUCCCGUCUAUGCAUCAACCACAUCCUUACUGGAGGAGCAAGCUUAAGGAGCUGUUGAGCACACAGCUUUGUCUUUUGCAUCUGCUGGGGGAGACUUUCAUGAUGUCACCAGGAACUUUUCAGCCCCCUUGGAAGGAUUGUUUUCCAGGGAUGGGUUACUCUGCUGAGGGAGAGGGAGCAUUUAAAAGGUGAGAGACCGUGGGUGUGGAGAAAUCACCGCAGAAGAAACAAAUAUUUAUCCAG